AGGGCGAAAAGGAGCCUGCGAAAUGAGAGAGAAGGGUGAUCACAGGAAGGAAAAGGGCGGAAAAACUCAACAGGCUCUGGAAGCUUUCCGCCAGAGAGGAUCUUGGAGAUUAGGUACUCUGAAAGAGCAUCAAGAAAAUCUGACUGAAAAAAGAUUGACUGAGAUGGGCGCUGGAGUAUAAGCCAGAGUUUCACAGGUACUUAUCAUCCCUGCACAAGCCUUUGCAUCUUGAAAAUCCACCAGUUUUAUAGCACUCUGAAAAAAUUCCUUGUUGCCAUGGAGAUACUGUUCUUUCACAGUGAAUCCUUCUUGAAGUGAGGAAUCUGAGGCCCAGAGAGAUUAAGAAGCUUCACAAGUGACAUGACUUGUGCCAAAUCACAAGGUCAUUUAGUUGCAGAACUGGGACAGGAAUUCAUGCCCAGUUCUCUUUUCAAAACCCUGUGGAAAAAAGCAGCACAUUGAAUUUAGCCUUUGAUUCGUCAUCAGCAUUAUCAGAGGACUCCUACAUCAGAUUACCAAUGCACUUUGUCAUAAAUAUUUCGGAAUGCCUAUGAGAAAAAGAAUAAAGCUAAAUCAAGUCCAGAAUACAGAGACAAAUUACUGCUGCAUUUACAGAGUUCUCAACAUUCAUCAAAUUAUACAAUAGUCAGAGGAGUUUCCUGUGGAUAUAAGGUCCAUUUGAAUCCUUAAGAAAAAGAGUGGAUAUUGAAGAAAUAUGUUCUUUAUUCUGAGCAAAAAAGCCAGCAAAAAAGAUAAUGGAUUUGCCAAAAUAUAUCACGACAAU
rnacentral:lncRNA from 1 species